CCUACGGGGGGCUGCAGUGGGGAAUAUUGGACAAUGGGGGCAACCCUGAUCCAGCCAUGCCGCGUGUGUGAAGAAGGCCCUCGGGUUGUAAAGCACUUUCAGUGAGGAAGAACGCCUGGUGGUUAAUACCCAUCAGGAAAGACAUCACUCACAGAAGAAGCACCGGCUAACUCCGUGCCAGCAGCCGCGGUAAUACGGAGGGUGCGAGCGUUAAUCGGAAUUACUGGGCGUAAAGCGCGUGUAGGUGGCUUGAUAAGCCGGUUGUGAAAGCCCCGGGCUCAACCUGGGAACGGCAUCCGGAACUGUCAAGCUAGAGUGCAGGAGAGGAAGGUAGAAUUCCCGGUGUAGCGGUGAAAUGCGUAGAGAUCGGGAGGAAUACCAGUGGCGAAGGCGGCCUUCUGGACUGACACUGACACUGAGGUGCGAAAGCGUGGGUAGCAAACAGGAUUAGAUACCCCUGUAGUC
rnacentral:rRNA from 1 species